UACAGAGGUCUCAAGCGUUGUUCGGAUUCAUUGGGCGUAAAGGGUGCGUAGGCGGCGCGGUAAGUCGGGUGUGAAAUCUCGGAGCUUAACUCCGAAACUGCAUUCGAUACUGCCGUGCUUGAGGACUGGAGAGGAGACUGGAAUUUACGGUGUAGCGGUGAAAUGCGUAGAUAUCGUAAGGAAGACCAGUGGCGAAGGCGGGUCUCUGGACAGUUCCUGACGCUGAGGCACGAAGGUCAGGGGAGCAAGCGGG
rnacentral:rRNA from 1 species